GUGUGUCGCAUGGUCGCACCAUAUACACUGCCAAUGCUGUUGCUAACUGCGUUCGCGACAUAUCUCUUCGUUCUGUACGUGGAAACUAUGUUUUUAUCGCUGAUGCGAUUCCAAGCUCGAUCUUUAUAAUUAGAAAGUCGAAAACCUUCGUGGUAAGUGUUUUUUAUCCCAACAAAAAGCGAUUAAGUCGAAGUACUAAGAACUUCAAAUUAUAUACGCUAUCGUGUUCCAAUAAGUGACAAAGCGGUUAUAAGUGAAAAUUUACGAAGACCCCCCGAGCAAUCCUAGCCUGACAUUCGCAUAUACGCGUUGUGACAAAGUUGAAGAAUUUCUCCAUUCUGCUGUCAUUUGUAUUGUUUGGUUCCCUGAUCGGUUUGGCAACCUGAUCGGUUGCUAUUUGUGGCUGUUAACUUGAACAUCGUUUUCAUUCAGUGUUUUUGAAUUUUUACUAAGGAGAUCAUGCCAAAAGAUGUCCCAUUUUAUAUGCUGUCCAAUAAGGCCAAAAGAAAGAGAAUUGAAGAUGAGGAAUGUAAUUCAACCGAUUCUUCAAUUGACAAUGCCAUCGACAGGCAUGAUAUCGAGCUACCUGAUUUUUCUAACUAUCAACAUUCAGAGGGUUUUCUAUGCAACAAUCCUGAACAUUCUGAACUUUCCGAACGAUCUGAACAUUCUGAACAUUCUGAGUUUUCUGAACAUUCAGAACUUUCUCAUUUUGAAUAUUGGAGUAAUAAUGAUUAUGAAGAUGAUAUUUUACAUGAAAAUAUCAAUCAUGAUGAACUUCCCCAAGAUCCGCAAUCGUUAUCUAAUUCUUCGAGCUCUUCCCAGUCUAGUGAAAAUUCAGUUUCCUCGAAAUUGAUGAUUCUAAAAUUUCUUCGUGGUUGGGCUUUAAAGCACAAUAUAACACAUGCAGCAAUUUCUGACUUGUUAACAGGUUUGAAAGAGAAUCACGAGUGUUUUGCCGAUGAAUCAGAACCCAGAUUCCCCAUAAGUGCGCGAACGUUACUUCAAACAGAAGUGAAAUUGAAAAAGAAAAUUGUCGAACCAGGAUAUUAUAUACAUAUAGGAUUGAAAAAACAAUUAUUAAAAAUUGCUCCUAAGUAUUUUAAAAAUGUAAUCACUUUUAAGUUAUUGGUAAACAUAGACGGAUUACCUCUAUUUAAAAGUUCGCCUGCUCAAGUAUAUCCCAUUUUAUGCAGUGUAGUAUCAAUACCUGAAUUGCGUAAGAAAGUUUUUCCCAUAGGCAUAUAUUAUGGCAAAGAGAAACCUUAUGAUAUAAAUAAGUAUUUGCAGGAUUUUAUUGAAGAAAUUAAUAAUCUUAUCGAGCAUGGCCUCCAUUUUGAGAAUUACACUGUAUUUUUAGAUGGUACUUAUUUUGUUUGUGACGCGCCAGCGAAGAGUUAUGUAAUGGGAACGGUAUCGCACACAGGUUUCAAUUCCUGUACUAGGUGCACUGUUCGUGGUGUCACCUCUGAUAAUCGACGAAUUUUCGUUGAUUUGGAAUGUCCAGCUCGCACUUGUGAGGAUUUUCUAGAAUGGAGAGAUGAUGAUUUUCGCCGUCGAGCCACUCCACUGACCAAUAUUAUAGGUUUAGAUUUUGUACAUCAUUUCAUUCUCGAUUAUUUACAUUUACAAUGUCUUGGUGUAAUGCGUACGAUGAUAUUGAAUAUGUGGUACAAGGGAUCAAUUCCUCAUAGACUUUCUGCUGCUCAGAUUGAAAUGCUGUCGAACCAUCUUGUUGAGCUUCAAUGUCACAUUCCUGCAGAAUUCGCAAGAAAGUGUAGAGAGCUGUUCAUUGUUUUACGGUGGAAAGGGACAGAAUUCAGAUUAUUUAUGCUAUAUGUAGGCCCAGUUGUACUAAAAAAUAUUCUAAGUAAACAAAAAUAUGUUCACUUUUUAGAAUUUCAUUGUGCGAUGAAAAUUUUAUUAAAUCCAAAUCUGUGCAAAAAACGGGAGCUUCGACAAUUUGCUAAAGAUAUUUUGAAACAUUUUGUUCAAUCGACUGAAAUUUUGUAUGAUAAAAAUUUUAUUACGCAUAAUUUUCACAAUAACAUACAUAUAGCUGACGAUGCAGACUAUUUUGCCGACAAAUUAGUUAACUUCAGUCUGGAUACAAUAUCUGCAUUUCCCUUCGAAAAUUACAUGCAAAGCAUAAAACGAAAAGUUAGAGCACGCAACAGGCCACUUGAGCAAAUUGGCCGAAGACUUGGAGAAAUCAUGUCAUUCGAGUCCGAAAAUCCAAUAGUAAGACCACAAGAUUAUGUAUUUCCUAAACUUUUUUCUCCGCAUAAUGCCGGUCCGGUGCUACCAGGUUGCAGGCGCCAGUAUCGUGGUGCUGCUUUUCCUCUAUUUAAAAUAACAAAUAAUGCUCCCGAUAAUUGCUGUGGUACUGACGACGGUGUAAUUAUUCAAGUUGCAAAUGUAGCUUUUUCUGAUCAUUUGCAGGUUCCAGUUGUAAUCGGUAGGGAAUUUGUUAGCAAACGUGACUUUUAUAAUGUACCUAUUGAAAGUUCUCGGGUAGGAAUAUUCAAAGUUAAGCAAUUGUCUAAUCUGAAGGCAUGGCCAUUGUCACAGAUUACUAUUAAAUAUGUUCAGUUGCCGUACAAAACUGCCUACAUUGUAUCAUCAAUUUUACAUUGUGACACGCUUUAAUUUCAUAAUAUCAUGUUCUGCAUUGUAAUAAUUUUUGUUUUCAUUAUCCUCUUUCUCAUCUUUCUUUUUCUUAUCAUUUCCUAUUUUUCAUCUUUAAGGCUCGAUAUAAUGUUCUAAGAUGUGUAUUCAUGAAAAUUAUGAGUGUUAGAACUUUCGAAUGAU